AUUGAACGCUGGCGGCAGGCCUAACACAUGCAAGUCGAACGGUAACAGGAAGAGGCUUGCUUCUUUGCUGACGAGUGGCGGACGGGUGAGUAAUGUCUGGGAAACUGCCUGAUGGAGGGGGAUAACUACUGGAAACGGUAGCUAAUACCGCAUAACGUCGCAAGACCAAAAAGGGGGACCUUCGGGCCUCUUGCCAUCGGAUGUGCCCAGAUGGGAUUAGCUAGUAGGUGGGGUAACGGCUCACCUAGGCGACGAUCCCUAGCUGGUCUGAGAGGAUGACCAGCCACACUGGAACUGAGACACGGUCCAGACUCCUACGGGAGGCAGCAGUGGGGAAUAUUGCACAAUGGGCGCAAGCCUGAUGCAGCCAUGCCGCGUGUAUGAAGAAGGCCUUCGGGUUGUAAAGUACUUUCAGCGGGGAGGAAGGGAGUAAAGUUAAUACCUUUGCUCAUUGACGUUACCCGCAGAAGAAGCACCGGCUAACUCCGUG
rnacentral:rRNA from 1 species